rnacentral:rRNA from 1 species
AUUGAACGCUGGCGGCGUGCCUAACACAUGCAAGUCGAGCGGUAACAGGUGUAGCAAUACAUGCUGACGAGCGGCGGACGGGUGAGUAACGCUUGGGAAUCUGCCUAUUAGUGGGGGACAACCCGGGGAAACUCGGGCUAAUACCGCAUACGCACUACGGUGGAAAGCCGGGGACCGCAAGGCCUGGCGCUAACAGAUGAGCCCAAGUCGGAUUAGCUAGUUGGUAGGGUAACGGCCACCAAGGCGACGAUCCGUAACUGGUCUGAGAGGACGACCAGUCACACCGGAACUGAGACACGGUCCGGACUCCUACGGGAGGCAGCAGUGGGGAAUAUUGGACAAUGGGCGAAAGCCUGAUCCAGCGACGCCGCGUGGGUGAAGAAGGCCUGCGGGUUGUAAGCCCUUUCAGUGGGGAAGAAAGCCUCGAGCUAACACCUCGGGGUCUUGACGUAACCCAUAGAAGAAGCACCGGCUAACUCUGUGCCAGCAGCCGCGGUAAG